rnacentral:rRNA from 1 species
GACAGAGGUGCCGAGCGUUAGGCGGAAUCACUGGGCUUAAAGCGUGUGUAGGCGGGCCGUUAAGUGUCUUGUGAAAUCCCCCGGCUCAACCUGGGAAUUGCUGGGCAUACUGGCGGUCUUGAGCAAUCUAGGGGCAGAUGGAACAAGUGGUGGAGCGGUGAAAUGCGUAGAUAUCACUUGGAACGCCAAAGGUGAAGACAGUCUGCCGGGGAUUUGCUGACGCUGAGACACGAAAGCCAGGGGAGCGGAACGGG